rnacentral:rRNA from 1 species
AACGCGAAGAACCUUACCAUCCCUUGACAUGUCGUGCCAUCCGGAGAGAUCCGGGGUUCCCUUCGGGGACGCGAACACAGGUGCUGCAUGGCUGUCGUCAGCUCGUGUCGUGAGAUGUUGGGUUAAGUCCCGCAACGAGCGCAACCCUCGUCCUUAGUUGCCAUCAUUCAGUUGGGCACUCUAGGGAGACUGCCGGUGAUAAGCCGCGAGGAAGGUGUGGAUGACGUCAAGUCCUCAUGGCCCUUACGGGAUGGGCUACACACGUGCUACAAUGGCGGUGACAGUGGGACGCGAAACCGCGAGGUCGAGCAAAUCCCCAAAAACCGUCUCAGUUCAGAUUGCACUCUGCAACUCGAGUGCAUGAAGGCGGAAUCGCUAGUAA